UACGUAGGGCGCAAGCGUUGUCCGGAAUUAUUGGGCGUAAAGAGCUCGUAGGCGGCCUGUUACGUCUGCUGUGAAAUCCCGGGGCUUAACCCCGGGCGUGCAGUGGAUACGGGCAGGCUGGAGGCAGGCAGGGGAGAACGGAAUUCCCGGUGUAGCGGUGAAAUGCGCAGAUAUCAGGAGGAACACCGGCGGUGUAGACGGCUUUCUGGACCGUAGCUGACGCUGAGACACGAAAGCGUGGGUAGCAAACAGG
rnacentral:rRNA from 1 species